AACGAACGCUGGCGGCAUGCCUAACACAUGCAAGUCGAACGAAGGCUUCGGCCUUAGUGGCGCACGGGUGCGUAACGCGUGGGAAUCUGCCCCUGGGUACGGAAUAACUCUCCGAAAGGAGUGCUAAUACCGUAUGAUGUCGCAAGACCAAAGAUUUAUCGCCCAGGGAUGAGCCCGCGUAGGAUUAGGUAGUUGGUGGGGUAAAGGCUCACCAAGCCGACGAUCCUUAGCUGGUCUGAAAGGAUGAUCAGCCACACUGGGACUGAGACACGGCCCAGAGUCCUACGGGAGGCAGCAGUGGGGAAUAUUGGACAAUGGGCGAAAGCCUGAUCCAGCAAUGCCGCGUGAGUGAUGAAGGCCUUAGGGUUGUAAAGCUCUUUUACCCGGGAAGAUAAUGACUGUACCGGGAGAAUAAGCCCCGGCUAACUCCGUGCCAGCAGCCGCCGUAA
rnacentral:rRNA from 1 species